rnacentral:rRNA from 1 species
UACAGAGGGUGCAAGCGUUGUCCGGAAUCACUGGGCGUAAAGGGCGCGUAGGCGGCUCAUGAAGGCUGUGGUGAAAGUCCGGGGGCUCAACCUCGGAUCGGCCGUGGCGACUCGUGGGCUGGAGCACUGUAGAGGCGGGUGGAAUUCCGGGGUGUAGCGGUGGAAUGCGUAGAGAUCCGGAAGAACACCAGUGGCGAAGGCGGCCCCGCUGGGCAGUGGCUGACGCUGAGGCGCGAAAGCAUGGGUAGCGAACAGG